rnacentral:lncRNA from 1 species
ACCAUAUCAUAUUGAUUUCAUAAACACAUUGAAUUCCGCUUAAUAGAGAAAAAAAAUUUCACAAAUACAUAUUUUGACAAUUUCAUGGAUUAUUGCAAACUUGAAAUACAUAAAAACAAGUGACACCUGAAAUAACAAAGAUUUAACAGUAUAUAUUCAUAUCAUGUUUAUAAAGUGCUUUGUUUGUAUUUAAGCUUACCGGUAACCCAUAUGUGCGAUUCCUCCAGAAGACUGUUAGUAAUGUUAGUAGGAGGAUUGUGCAAGAUACAGAAGACGCUCCAAUUCCAGAAGCUUCCCUUGUUCUUUAGCGUGCCAGGUGUAAAGCACCCAUACAUGGGACUCUCAUCCCAAUUUUAGUAAUAUUUAAUUGGAGGAGCAGGGGCUCGAACUCACUACCCCUGGUUUCGUAGUCAAACAGUGUUACCACUGGACCACUGCGUAAACUCUGUUACCUUUUAAGCACUAUGUUCAGAAUGCACAUUGGUGAUACAUUUCUGAAUAUUAAAGCAGUAUGUACACAUGGUCUUUUGUUGUGUCAGGCCCUUCCCCAGCCGCAUAAGGCGCCGCGCUACCGCGGCGCUUAAACACGAAAUACAGCUUCCCGCAGCGCUUAAUUAUCCCGCGCGGUGCCUCAAUUAUUAGCGCAGCGUCUUAAAUCAGUAAGCGAUUUCAUCCCUGUGAGAUACCUCAGGUAAAUAUCGAUCGGUGAAGUUUAUGAAUACACAGUGUAGCUAGCUGUUUACCGUGUACUGAUAAGGGUUUAAAGACGACACGUGUUGAUGAAAGUCUGUGUUUUCACAAGUUUGCGGUUAAUUGGAGCAGGAGUGAUUGGAUUAUAAUUAGUUAAAGAUUAUAAUUAGUCUAUGCAACGAAAUGGGAUAACAGUUGGUGACGGCUGCAUGGGCUCUUUCAUCACUCUUCUCCCUUGAAGAAGACCGGGGGGUUAUUGAAUGGGCACAGGCGAAAGCCACCCUUACCACAGAUGAACACUUUGAGCACCAUGGAGUGGAUUGUUGGUAAUCUGUCCGAGUCUCACCCAAACCUGAGCAAAGUCGCUAUAGUGGGACUGCUUCUACCAACCUCCACAGCUGAUUGUGAGAGAGGUUUCAGCAGUUGAAUGUGAAGACCACCCACCAUUCACCAGUGAGCAUGAAAGUGCUUAAUGCCUUACUCAUGGUGUCCAUGCAGGGACAAAAAUUGAAUGACUUUAAUUUCAGUGGUGCAGUAAAGGAAUGGCACAGAGCCAAGACAGACACUUACCGGUAUAUGAAAACAAAAAUGCCUAUGUGUUGUUAGUGUUAGUACAAAAGAAGUGGAAGGACAUAGGUAUUGUUCGAAAAUACAUAUAAAAGAAGUGGACAUCUGUGUAGUGUAUAUGAUAUAU